rnacentral:rRNA from 1 species
AUUCCAGCUCCAAUAGCGUAUAUUAAAGUUGUUGCGGUUAAAAAGCUCGUAGUUGGAUUUCUGUUGAGGGCAGCCGGUCCGUGAUUCUUCGCGAGCAUCUGGUUCGGCCUCGGCAUCCUCUUAAUCCACGUUUCUGUGCUUUGUUGCAUGGAGCGCAGGUUAAGACUUUUACUUUGAGUAAAUUAGAGUGUUCAAAGCAGGCCUACGCGCCGAAUACAUUAGCAUGGAAUAACACGAUAGGACUCUGGCCUAUCUUGUUGGUCUGUAGGACCGGAGUAAUGAUUAAGAGGGACAGUCGGGGGCAUUCGUAUUUCAUUGUCAGAGGUGAAAUUCUUGGAUUUAUGAAAGACGAACUACUGCGAAAGCAUUUGCCAAGGAUGUUUUCAUUA